ensembl:snoRNA
GCUCAGUGUGCAUUAACUGGGGUGAGGCUGUCCUCCCAGCUCUCCCAGUGACGACCCAGCACGUGUGCCCCCACUGCCCGCCGGUAACAGUCCGGGCAGUAAUAACCCAGCUCUAGCAAGUGGCGAGGGCCUGCU